rnacentral:rRNA from 1 species
AGUGAACGCUGGCGGUAGGCCUAACACAUGCAAGUCGAACGGCGGCACAGUAAGAGCUUGCUCUUACGGGUGGCGAGUGGCGGACGGGUGAGGAAUACAUCGGAAUCUACUUUUUCGUGGGGGAUAACGUAGGGAAACUUACGCUAAUACCGCAUACGACCUACGGGUGAAAGCAGGGGAUCUUCGGACCUUGCGCGAUUGAAUGAGCCGAUGUCGGAUUAGCUAGUUGGCGGGGUAAAGGCCCACCAAGGCGACGAUCCGUAGCUGGUCUGAGAGGAUGAUCAGCCACACUGGAACUGAGACACGGUCCAGACUCCGACGGGAGGCAGCAGUGGGGAAUAUUGGACAAUGGGCGCAAGCCUGAUCCAGCCAUACCGCGUGGGUGAAGAAGGCCUUCGGGUUGUAAAGCCCUUUUGUUGGGAAAGAAAAGCAGCAGGUUAAUACCCCGCUGUUCUGACGGUACCCAAAGAAUAAGCACCGGCUAACUUCG